ensembl:snoRNA SNORA70 Small nucleolar RNA SNORA70
CUGCAACCAAUUAAGCUGUCAGUGUUCCUUUCCUCAUGGGGACCAGGUGUGCAGUGGCUGCAAACAGCAGCCUCCUUGGGUAGUGUAUGUAGCCUGUUUCUUGUAUAAGUUGCCCUAAGGGAUGUUGGAGACAUCU